CUGGUUCACUUGAGUGCAGGAGAGGGGAGUGGAAUUCCCGGUGUAGCGGUGGAAUGCGUAGAGAUCGGGAGGAACACCAGUGGCGAAGGCGACUCUCUGGCCUGUAACUGACACUGAGGCGCGAAAGCGUGGGGAGCGAACAGGAUUAGAUACCCUGGUAGUCCACGCCGUAACCGAUGAGUGCUAGGUGUUGGGGACUUAUACGUCCUCAGUGCCGAAGGAAACCCAUUAAGCACUCCGCCUGGGGAGUACGGCCGCAAGGCUGAAACUCAAAGGAAUUGACGGGGGCCCGCACAAGCGGUGGAGCAUGUGGUUUAAUUCGAAGCAACGCGAAGAACCUUACCAAGGCUUGACAUCCCGCUGAUCCCUCUAGAGAUAGAGGUUCCCUUCGGGGCAGCGGUGACAGGUGGUGCAUGGUUGUCGUCAGCUCGUGUCGUGAGAUGUUGGGUUCAGUCCCGCAACGAGCGCAACCCUUAUCCUUAGUUGCCAGCAUUCAGUUGGGCUCUCUAAGGAGACAGCCGGUGAAAGCCGGAGGAAGGUGGGGAUGACGUCAAAUCAUCAUGCCCCUUAUGUCUUGGGCUACACACGUGCUACAAUGGAUGGUACAAAGGGAAGCGAGACCGCGAGGUGGAGCAAAUCCCAGAAAGCCAUUCUCAGUUCGGAUUGUAGGCUGCAACUCGCCUACAUGAAGCCGGAAUCGCUAGUAAUCGCGGAUCAGCAUGCCGUGGUGAAUACGUUCCCGGGCCUUGUACACACCGCCCGUCACACCACGAGAGUUUGCAACACCCGAAGUCGGUGACGAAACCUUAGGGAUCGAGCCGCCGAAGGUGGGGUAGAUGAUUGGGGUGAAGUCGUAACAAGGUAACC
rnacentral:rRNA from 1 species